ensembl:lncRNA
CAUUCAUACCUACCCGCCACUAGGGGUCACUCGUGUUUACGUGAUGCAUAGUAGAGUGCACACAGAGGAAGAGUGUACUACAUGUGUAGGUUGUGCUUGUUCGUAGCUGUCUGCAGCUGAGCACAUGAGCAGUUGUGCAUAAGAUUAAAAGCAAACAUCAGCUUUUCUUAAGGAAGGGGGGAAAGUCCUGCUUGUGUUUUGCUUACCACCUUGUGCAUCAUGUAUUUGGUGUCUGUCUGCAAGAUAUUUCCGGGUGGAUAUAUACAUAUCUAAUGUGGCGGAGAUUGAGCAGGGGAGAACAGAUACACGUGUGUCAGCGCCUCGUUUCAUGUUACAGCGUGUCACAGAGUGAGUUCAUUUAUUUUGUUUCAUAUUAUAAAUAUUAUUGUGCACUCAAAGAAGAGAGAGAAACAUUUUGUAAUGUUUAUAUUAUGUCAGCAAUAAAUAUAAUUUGUUAAUAGGCUAAAUAUGAACAUUUUGAUACCAUGAUUGACACUGUAUAAAUGAUUAAUGAGGUGUAAACUGGAUUCAGUUCAGAUUUAUUAAGUUAAUGGCUAAUGUUUAUGUACUAUGAAUGUUUCUGUGUUUUGUCUAUAUUACAGAAUAGCAUCCAAAAGCCACUACCGUUGUUUUAUAGGGGUAUAUUUCAUACAGGGCUAUUUUUGUGUGUUUUCAUUUAUUUUCUCUGUUGAUUUGGGAUCUUUAUAAUCUUGAGAAGGAAUGUGAUUUAAGGAGAAACGUGUAUUAACCCUUUCUAAUCAGCCGAAUUUCACCCAAAGGGAGUGUUCAAUAGUUGGGCUACUGUUUUAUUUGUUUUAUUUAUUUUUCUUUAAACUGAAUAGGCCAUUGUAACAAAAUAUUCACAGUGUAUUUGGAGCUUGUGUUAAUUUGAUCUCUUUUUAUAUUUCUUGUAAACUUGGUUUAUUAAUAUACUACGCAGGGGGAAAUUUCACAGUCAUUUAAUGCUGUGUUUUCUCUUAACUCAGUCGGAAAUAAAGAACCCCUGUUAGAUGUAUGGCUGUGCUGGAGUCUUUGUCAUAGUGUGAAGGUUUACACGGCCACAUAUGAGUACUACUUUUAAUAUAAUAUUCAGUUUUAAUAUACCAUUUGAAAAGAUGUUAAUGGAUGGAUUGGAG